rnacentral:ncRNA from 1 species
AUAAAUUCAAUGAAAAAGAGAGUACAUUAAAUGAAUUUUAUAGAGAGCCGAGGAUGGUGGAAGCUUGGCAUUGAAGUUUAAUCGAAGAGAGCUUUGGAGAAGAUUAUCUGAAACUAAGUAUGGUAAUCGGGAUAUCUCACCUUACGAGACUUAAGUGAGUAAUAUAUGCGCAUAUAUUAUUAAUAAGAGUGGUAACGCGGAAUUUUCGUCUCUUGG